CAAUUAAAAAGAUUUUAAUAUGACAGGAACAGUGGAAAUAUUCCAUUCCCGAUACCUUUAGUGCAGCCCUCGUAGUAAGCCAACAUUAACAUAUAGACAUAGUAUGCUGUCGCGGACUUUUUUUUAGAACUUUUAAUGGGGAACAAUUGUCAUACAUUAUUUUAUCGAAACUUUAACGGUUUCCACAGCACACGCAGCGGAAGUUCCUUACCAUCUAAGGCUAAAUAUGACCGCGAGACCGAUAGCGAACAAGUACCGUGAGGGAAAGUUGAAAAUAACUUUGAAGAGAGAGUUCAAAAGUACGUGAAACCGUUCAGGAAAGAAAAAAAGAACUAUUUUGAGACAUUAUUUAUUAGUCAUCACCAUCAGCCUGCGGCAGUCCACUGCUGGACAUUGGCGUCUCCCAAAGCUCGCCACUGAACUCGAUCUUCGGUUUUACGCAUCCAGUCAUCGCCAGCUGCCCUGCGCAGGUCGUCGCUCCAUCUAUCAGGAGGACGUCCUACACUACGUUUGGCGGUUCGCGGUCUGCGCUCCAGAACACGUCUGCCUCAACGGUUAUCGGUUCUGCGACAUACGGGACCAGCUGACCCAUUUAUUUGUGCUCCGUUCGUAUUCAGUGGUGGAUUUACACUAGUCAGGCAGUCGGGGCAAGUGCCCAGAGCGGCAAAAUUUUGAAAGCGAUUGAUUGAUUUUCUGUUUAAUUGAUAAUUCAACAAAUUCAAAUCAUCCAUUAUUUUUUAAUUAUAAUUUUGGUACUUUUGGUAAAAAUUUAUAAUCAAAAUGAUUUAAUCAAUUUAUUUCCUUGGACAUUUAAAAU
rnacentral:ncRNA from 1 species